GUGCUUGCUUCAGCAACACAUAUACUAAAAUUGGAACAAUACAGAGAUUAGCAUGGCCCCUGCACAAGAAUGACAUGCAAAUUUAUAAAGCAUUCCAUACUUUA
rnacentral:snRNA from 1 species